UAAGGGUUAGUUUAAACUAAAAUUUUGGUUUGUGGUACCAAAGAUAUUCAUUCGUAUUACCUUUAA
rnacentral:tRNA from 1 species